CUCAUGGCAUAUUUACUCUUAUAGCACGUGCAACUAGUGGCAAUAAUUGAGAGUGAGAUCCACGAAGGGUCUGCCAUCUAAAACAGGAAAUUGCAUUUCUAUGCCUGCAAAAUAGAGUGAGAAUAACCAUAUAUUGUGUCCCACAACUGAUCUGCAAUACUCCUUAAGUGCUUGUCUUUUUUAAAGGAGGUCAUUCCAUGCACACUGUUCAAUUAAAUCACUGUACCUCUGGAACCAAAGUUGGAGUUUUGCAAAAGCCAUAAUGUAAGCUAUCUUUGGGGAGGAGGGCAAGAACUGAACAGAAAAAGCACUGUUGGAUGCAGAACAUGUGAUGCACGUAAAGGAC